rnacentral:rRNA from 1 species
GAAAUUUAAAAUAAUAGAAUAUUAAUAUUCACGAAGCCAGGCGAGCUAAAUCCUAUUUCUUUAUUAGCAGAUGAUUUUUAGUGUAUCAAUACCUAUUAUAUUAUAAGAAUUUAGGGGUGAAAGGCCUUUCAAGUUCUGUCAAUAUCUUGAUUAUAAGUAAAGAUAUUUAGUAUUAGAUUUAACCUUAAAAAUGAUAAGGUUUUUAGGGUUCAUAAUGUUUAAAAAUUCGUUUAACUGAGUAUGUAGAAGUUACAGUUUAAAUUAAGUAAACAUAGAUUAUUAAAAAUAUAUGUACAUUACUUAUAUUUUUAGAUUAAUAUAUAUUUUAGACUGAAAAUGAUUUCAUUAGUAUUUACUUAAUUUUUUUUUAAGGAACUCGGCAAAAAUUUUUCUCGACUGUUUAACAAAAACAUUGCUUUAAGUUAUUAUUUCAAGUAUACCCUGCUCAAUGAUAUAUAAUUAAAUAGCCGCAGUACCCUGACUGUGCAAAGGUAGCAUAAUCAAUUGGCUUAUAAUUGAAGUCUAGUAUGAAUGGGAAAUUGGGAAUAAGCUAUCUAAAAAAAUUUUUAGAAUUUACUAAAUAAGUGAAAAUUCUUAUAUAAACAAAAAAGACGAGAAGACCCUAGAAAUUUUUCAUAGAAUUUUUAUAUAUUUAUAUAAAAUAUUUUGUUGGGGCGACAUGGUAACACAUUUUUAUAUAGAACGUACCAAAAAAAAUUAAGAAAUUAUUUGUUAGAAUAAAUAAAUUACUCUAGGGAUAACAGCAUAAUUUAUUAUUAAGAUUUUGACCUCGAUGUUGGACUAGGAAAUUAUUUACUUAAAAGGUAAAUUAGAAAGCUCUGUUCGAGCUAAAUUACCUACAUGAUCUGAGUUCAGACCGG